rnacentral:rRNA from 1 species
CCUACGGGGGGCACCAGUGGGGAAUAUUGCACAAUGGGCGCAAGCCUGAUGCAGCCAUGCCGCGUGUAUGAAGAAGGCCUUCGGGUUGUAAAGUACUUUCUGCGGGGAGGAAGGUGUUGUGGUUAAUAACCGCAGCAAUUGACGUUACCCGCAGAAGAAGCACCGGCUAACUCCGUGCCAGCAGCCGCGGUAAUACGGAGGGUGCAAGCGUUAAUCGGAAUUACUGGGCGUAAAGCGCACGCAGGCGGUCUGUCAAGUCGGAUGUGAAAUCCCCGGGCUCAACCUGGGAACUGCAUUCGAAACUGGCAGGCUAGAGUCUUGUAGAGGGGGGUAGAAUUCCAGGUGUAGCGGUGAAACGCGUAGAGAUCUGGAGGAAUACCGGUGGCGAAGGCGGCCCCCUGGACAAAGGCUGACGCUCAGGUGCGAAAGCGUGGGGAGCAAACAGGAUUAGAUACCCUUGUAGUC